rnacentral:rRNA from 1 species
UGGGGAAUAUUGCACAAUGGGCGAAAGCCUGAUGCAGCAACGCCGCGUGAGUGACGAAGGUCUUCGGAUUGUAAAGCUCUGUCUUUGGGACGAUAAUGACGGUACCAAAGGAGGAAGCCACGGCUAACUACGUGCCAGCAGCCGCGGUAAUACGUAGGUGGCGAGCGUUGUCCGGAUUUACUGGGCGUAAAGGGUGCGUAGGCGGAUGUUUAAGUGAGAUGUGAAAUACCCGGGCUUAACUUGGGUGCUGCAUUUCAAACUGGAUAUCUAGAGUGCAGGAGAGGAGAAUGGAAUUCCUAGUGUAGCGGUGAAAUGCGUAGAGAUUAGGAAGAACACCAGUGGCGAAGGCGAUUCUCUGGACUGUAACUGACGCUGAGGCACGAAAGCGUGGGUAGCAAACAGGAUUAGAUACCCUGGUAGUCCACGCCGUAAAACGAUGAGUACUAGGUGUAGGAGGUAUCGACCCCUUCUGUGCCGCAGUAAACACAUUAAGUACUCCGCCUGGG